rnacentral:rRNA from 1 species
UACGAAGGGUGCAAGCGUUACUCGGAAUUACUGGGCGUAAAGCGUGCGUAGGUGGUUCGUUAAGUCUGAUGUGAAAGCCCUGGGCUCAACCUGGGGAAUGGCAUUGGAAACUGGCGACCUAGAGUGCGGUAGAGGGUAGUGGAAUUCCCGGUGUAGCAGUGAAAUGCGUAGAGAUCGGGAGGAACAUCUGUGGCGAAGGCGACUACCUGGACCAGCACUGACACUGAGGCACGAAAAGCGUGGGGGAGCAAACAGGG